GGAAAUGAUGAUAUACUUUCUGGAAUCUCGUUCGUCUGAACUCCUGUUGAGAAAUGGAAAUCUGACUGCA